CAUGAGGGCAUACCGCUAAGAACUAAAAGUCCCUUCUGAGAACCAUGAACUCGGUUCAUGGAAAACCCUGCCCUGGUUCUGUCUUCCCGCUCUCUAACAGGCAAGGUUUUCUCCUCUUCUUGUCUGUUGUUCUGUCUGCUAAAGGGAAGUACUUGUGUGAAAACCAGCAACUGAUAGGAAACAUUGUUUUGCGUUGGCCCAGCUGCUGUCGCCUCAAUAGAAGAAACGUGCUAGCCGCCAUGGAGUUUGCAGAGACCAUCCUUCAGGAGCAAAGGAAACCUGUCUACGUAGAUGGACACGUCCAGCACACGUGUGGGUGUGCCCUGCUCCAGCCGACUAAGCCAGCUAAGGGCUGUGGGGCAUCUAGAAUGUACUAUGUGCUCAGUAUCCGUACAACAGCAUGAGCAACAGAGACCAUGGCUGCUUGGAUUUGUGGCUGUCCCAGGUCAACCGGAUUGUCCAGUGUAGGUGAUAGGCCUAGCCUGAGGAGAGAAAAGAUUGAUUUGAGAACUGAAAACCAGCCUGGUUUGUGAGUAUGCCUUUAUGAUGUCCCCAGCAAUUCCUCAAGAGAAGAAAUCUUCCAUUUUCAAGAAUGUGAUUUCAUUGUAUUAAAAUGAAUUGCUUGGUCAUAUAUAUAAAAAAAUAAAAGACACAAAGUGGGAGGAAAUAUGAGGGAUCAGGAAGGAAU